rnacentral:rRNA from 1 species
AGAGUUUGAUCCUGGCUCAGAUUGAACGCUGGCGGCAUGCCUUACACAUGCAAGUCGAACGGCAGCACGGACUUCGGUCUGGUGGCGAGUGGCGAACGGGUGAGUAAUAUAUCGGAACGUACCCUGGAGUGGGGGAUAACGCAGCGAAAGUUGCGCUAAUACCGCAUACGAUCUACGGAUGAAAGUGGGGGCUCGCAAGACCUCAUGCUCGUGGAGCGGCCGAUAUCUGAUUAGCUAGUUGGUAGGGUAAAAGCCUACCAAGGCAUCGAUCAGUAGCUGGUCUGAGAGGACGACCAGCCACACUGGAACUGAGACACGGUCCAGACUCCUACGGGAGGCAGCAGUGGGGAAUUUUGGACAAUGGGGGCAACCCUGAUCCAGCAAUGCCGCGUGAGUGAAGAAGGCCUUCGGGUUGUAAAGCUCUUUUGUCAGGGAAGAAACGGUGAAGGCUAAUACUCUUUGCUAAUGACGGUACCUGAAGAA